AUUGUACGCUGGCGGCAUGCCUUACACAUGCAAGUCGAACGGCAGCACGGGAGCAAUCCUGGUGGCGAGUGGCGAACGGGUGAGUAAAGUAUCGGAACGUGCCCAGUCGUGGGGGAUAACGUAGCGAAAGUUACGCUAAUACCGCAUACGAUCUAUGGAUGAAAGCGGGGGAUCGCAAGACCUCGCGCGACUGGAGCGGCCGAUAUCAGAUUAGGUAGUUGGUGGGAUAAAGGCUCACCAAGCCGACGAUCUGUAGCUGGUCUGAGAGGACGACCAGCCACAGUGGGACUGAGACACGGCCCAGACUCCUACGGGAGGCAGCAGUGGGGAAUUUUGGACAAUGGGCGCAAGCCUGAUCCAGCCAUGCCGCGUGCAGGAUGAAGGCCUUCGGGUUGUAAACUGCUUUUGUACGGAACGAAAAGGUUUGACUUAAUACGUUGGACUCAUGACGGUACCGUAAGAAUAAGCACCGGCUAACUACGUGCCAGCAGCCGCAGUAA
rnacentral:rRNA from 1 species